rnacentral:rRNA from 1 species
GGGUGGUACACCAACAAGGGCUGGGCAAGACCGGUGCCAGCCGCCGCGGUAAUACCGGCAGCCCGAGUGAUGACCGAUCUUAUUGGGCCUAAAGCGUCCGUAGCUGGCUGCGCAAGUCCGUCGGGAAAUCCACUCGCCCAACGAGUGGGCGUCCGACGGAAACUGCACAGCUUGGGACCGGAAGGCUCGAAGGGUACGUGCGGGGUAGGAGUGAAAUCCUAUAAUCCCGCACGGACCACCGAUGGCGAAAGCACUUCGAGAAAACGGAUCCGACAGUGAGGGACGAAAGCCAGGGUCUCCAACCGGAUUAGAUACCCGGGUAGUCCUGGCUGUAAACAAUGUUCGCUAGGUAUGACACAGACUAC